GAGAGCAUUCCAGUGAAGUGGGUGGAGAAGGAAACAGAUGUGAGACCAGAUGCAGAUCUGAACAAAUUUGUUAGGUCCUGAAUUUCUACUGAUCACAGUAGCUGAUGAGAAAUGUCUGUGGCAUAGUAGCAAGUCUCUCUGAACAAUUUAGAAUGGACGUUCAUAAAUUAAGGGCAUAGAUGUCAAAACUGUCAUUCUCUGCCUAUGAGAUGGAGAAAGCUGAUUUUAUCAGGAGGUAAACUGGU
rnacentral:lncRNA from 1 species